AGAUCAAACCUAGGCUCCCUUUCCCUCCGAAGGCAGAGGCCAGGGGUUCGAAUCCCUUCGGGUGCGCCA
rnacentral:tRNA from 1 species